rnacentral:rRNA from 1 species
ACGGAAGGCAGCAGUGGGGAAUAUUGCACAAUGGGCGCAAGCCUGAUGCAGCAACGCCGCGUGAAGGAAGACGGUUUUCGGAUUGUAAACUUCUGUUCUUAGUGAAGAAUAAUGACGGUAGCUAAGGAGCAAGCCACGGCUAACUACGUGCCAGCAGCCGCGGUAAUACGUAGGUGGCAAGCGUUGUCCGGAAUUACUGGGUGUAAAGGGAGCGCAGGCGGGUGAUCAAGUCAGCUGUGAAAACUACGGGCUUAACCCGUAGACUGCAGUUGAAACUGUUCAUCUUGAGUGAAGUAGAGGUUGGCGGAAUUCCGAGUGUAGCGGUGAAAUGCGUAGAUAUUCGGAGGAACACCGGUGGCGAAGGCGGCCAACUGGGCUUUAACUGACGCUGAGGCUCGAAAGUGUGGGGAGCAAACAGGAUUAGAUACCCUGGUA